UUGUCACCACCUUUAAGCCUUCAAGGCUCCCACCCCCUCGCCUAACUCAUGUUGUCCUUUCAGAUCUACUAGCCUCCUUCAGCCUUGACCCUUUGCCACCGCUAGCAGCCAGCCACCACCUUGCAUUGCCCUCCUCCCAUCAAUUGGAUGGCCCAUAGUCCCAAGCAGAUGAAAGGGUUCUGCCUCUAGAGGAUGCUCCCAGAUUCCAUGGUCAUCGGGAUACAACUCAAAAGGCAAGUAAUUAGCCAAUAUCUUAUAUGUAUUAUUGUGCAUAAAUACCUCUUUGAUUGACGAGCUUUUUGCAUACUACUUAGAUCUGUGAUUUUUUAUGCUUUUGAGGCAGCGUAGAGGACACCAAAUAAUCUUAAUCGGUUUUAUAAGUAAACACUAGAAUGAUAUUAGCAUAUCAUGAGAAGCUGAAUCUUUUUUUAUCAAUUGAUUUUUUUGCCAUGGUUCUCAUUAUCUUUUGGAUUCACAUGCUAUUAGAUACAGCUAAUUUUGAUGUGAAAUAAUAGCAUCCUUGGUUGAGUAGUAGUCUGUCUAUGUGGUUAGCCAACCACACACUCCGACAACUGAAAUAAUAACUAUUGCAACUUUACAAGAAGAGUUCAAUUGUGAAAAGUUAUGUCCAUAUUUGAGCCUGCAGAUAGAGCAAAUAAGCUCAAUUGGCUUGUGAUGACACUUUUUACCUCCAUUUUUUUUAGGAAUUCUGGAGAAUGGAAAUAAUGAUGAUAUCUUUAUAAAAAUACUAUACUACAGGAUAUGCCAUCUAAAUGAUUGUUGCCGGUUAUGUAUUUCAAUGCUCUCAACUUUGCACUAGCCCUAUUGCAGGGUACACCGCCACACCAAAUAUUUCUGUUAAUCACUAUUGAUUCAGUGUUGAGCUUGAACAUCACCAUUUCUAAAAUCUCCAGGGCAUACUUUUGGCAAUGAUAAUGAGGAUUGUCAAAUCCCACCAUCUGUAGCUGCUUUGCAAAUUGUGAUGCACUGAUGUCUGAAGUUCUUGCAAAAAUUAAAGGUUUAUAUUUCUGAUAGCUACUUGGGUGGAGCGAUACACUGGAUUUGGAGAAUUAGAAUCUAUUUAUAGACUAGACAAGUCGAUCUAUUUCUUUACACUCUCUGAUUUGAGUUUGGUUACGAAUUGUGUGGAAGGAGUACAUGUAUGAACAUUUCGUUGAUGCUUAUAUACAUGUAAUUGUAAAUAAAAAUGAUGUAUCGGUAUAAUUUCUACAUUUUAUCACAAUCAUUAUGCAUGAUAAUUA